CUUGCUUCUCUUGAGAGCGGCGGACGGGUGAGUAAUGCCUAGGAAUCUGCCUGGUAGUGGGGGAUAACGUUCGGAAACGGACGCUAAUACCGCAUACGUCCUACGGGAGAAAGCAGGGGACCUUCGGGCCUUGCGCUAUCAGAUGAGCCUAGGUCGGAUUAGCUAGUUGGUGGGGUAAUGGCUCACCAAGGCGACGAUCCGUAACUGGUCUGAGAGGAUGAUCAGUCACACUGGAACUGAGACACGGUCCAGACUCCUACGGGAGGCAGCAGUGGGGAAUAUUGGACAAUGGGCGAAAGCCUGAUCCAGCCAUGCCGCGUGUGUGAAGAAGGUCUUCGGAUUGUAAAGCACUUUAAGUUGGGAGGAAGGGUUGUAGAUUAAUACUCUGCAAUUUUGACGUUACCGACAGAAUAAGCACCGGCUAACUCUGUGCCAGCAGCCGCGGUAAUACAGAGGGUGCAAGCGUUAAUCGGAAUUACUGGGCGUAAAGCGCGCGUAGGUGGUUUGUUAAGUUGGAUGUGAAAUCCCCGGGCUCAACCUGGGAACUGCAUUCAAAACUGACUGACUAGAGUAUGGUAGAGGGUGGUGGAAUUUCCUGUGUAGCGGUGAAAUGCGUAGAUAUAGGAAGGAACACCAGUGGCGAAGGCGACCACCUGGACUAAUACUGACACUGAGUGCGAAAGCGUGGGGAGCAAACAGGAUUAGAUACCCUGGUAGUCCACGCCGUAAACGAUGUCAACUAGCCGUUGGAAGCCUUGAGCUUU
rnacentral:rRNA from 1 species